GAUGAACGCUGGCGGCGUGCCUAAUACAUGCAAGUCGAGCGAACGGACGAGAAGCUUGCUUCUCUGAUGUUAGCGGCGGACGGGUGAGUAACACGUGGAUAACCUACCUAUAAGACUGGGAUAACUUCGGGAAACCGGAGCUAAUACCGGACGAUAUUUUGAACCGCAUGGUUCAAAGGUGAAAGACGGUCUUGCUGUCACUUAUAGAUGGAUCCGCGCUGCAUUAGCUAGUUGGUAAGGUAACGGCUUACCAAGGCAACGAUGCAUAGCCGACCUGAGAGGGGGAUCGGCCGCACUGGAGGUGAGACACGGUCCAGACUCCUACGGGAGGCAGCAGUAGGGAAUCUUCCGCAAUGGGCGAAAACCUGACGGAGCAACGCCGCGUGAGUGAUGAAGGUCUUCGGAUCGUAAAACUCUGUUAUUAGGGAAGAACAUAUGUGUAAGUAACUGUGCACAUCUUGACGGUACCUAAUCAGAAAGCCACGGCUAACUACGUG
rnacentral:rRNA from 1 species